rnacentral:rRNA from 1 species
UACGUAGGGUGCAAGCGUUGUCCGGAAUUAUUGGGCGUAAAGAGCUCGUAGGCGGUUCGUCGCGUCGGCUGUGAAAUCCCGAGGCUCAACCUCGGGUCUGCAGUCGAUACGGGCGGGCUAGAGUUCGGUAGGGGAGACUGGAAUUCCUGGUGUAGCGGUGAAAUGCGCAGAUAUCAGGAGGAACACCGGUGGCGAAGGCGGGUCUCUGGGCCGAUACUGACGCUGAGGAGCGAAAGCGUGGGGAGCGAACAGG